rnacentral:rRNA from 1 species
AUCAACUUUCGAUGGUAGGAUAGAGGCCUACCAUGGUGGUAACGGGUAACGGGGUGUUAGGGCACGACACCGGAGAGGGAGCCUGAGAAACGGCUACCACAUCCAAGGAUGGCAGCAGGCGCGCAAAUUACCCAAUCCCGGCACGGGGAGGUAGUGACAAUAAAUAACAAUACGGGGUUCUUUCGGAUCUCGUAAUUGGAAUGAGUACAAUUUAAAUCUCUUAACGAGGAACAAUUGGAGGGCAAGUCUGGUGCCAGCAGCCGCGGUAAUUCCAGCUCCAAUAGCGUAUAUUAAAGUUGUUGCAGUUAAAAAGCUCGUAGUUGAAUUUCGGGGUUAGUAGGCUGGUCAUGCCACCGGUAUGUACUGGUCUUACUGAUUCCUCCUUCCUGAUGAACUGUAAUGCCAUUAAUUUGGUGUUGCAGGGAAUCUGGACUGUUACUUUGAAAAAAUUAGAGUGUUUAAAGCAGGCUAACGCUUGAAUACAUUAGCAUGGAAUAAUGAAAUAGGACGUUCGAUCCUAUUUUGUUGGUUUCUAGGAUUGACGUAAUGAUUAAUAGGGAUAGUUGGGGGCAUUAGUAUUCAAUUGUCAGAGGUGAAAUUCUUGGAUUUAUUGAAGACUAACUACUGCGAAAGCAUUUGCCAAGGAUGUUUUCAUUAAUCAAGAACGAAAGUUAGGGGAUCGAAGACGAUCAGAUACCGUCGUAGUCUUAACCAUAAACUAUGCCGACUAGGGAUCGGAUGAUGUUAAUUUUUUAAUGACUCAUUCNGCGUCUUACGGGAAACCAAAGUGUUUGGGUUC